CGGGGUGGAGUAAUGUCUGGGAAACGUGCCUGAUGGAGGGGGAUAGCUACUGGAAACGGUAGCUAAUACCGCAUAACGUCGCAAGACCAAAGAGGGGGACCUUCGGGCCUCUUGCCAUCGGAUGUGCCCAGAUGGGAUUAGCUAGUAGGUGGGGUAACGGCUCACCUAGGCGACGAUCCCUAGCUGGUCUGAGAGGAUGACCAGCCACACUGGAACUGAGACACGGUCCAG
rnacentral:rRNA from 1 species